rnacentral:rRNA from 1 species
AGAGUUUGAUCAUGGCUCAGAUUGAACGCUGGCGGCAUGCUUUACACAUGCAAGUCGAACGGCAGCACGGGGGCAACCCUGGUGGCGAGUGGCGAACGGGUGAGUAAUAUAUCGGAACAUGUCCGGAAGUGGGGGAUAACGUACCGAAAGGUACGCUAAUACCGCAUAUGCCCUGAGGGGGAAAGGUGGGGAUCGCAAGACCUAUCGCUUUCGGAGUGGCCGAUAUCGGAUUAGCUAGUUGGUGAGGUAAAGGCUCACCAAGGCGACGAUCCGUAGCUGGUCUGAGAGGACGACCAGCCACACUGGGACUGAGACACGGCCCAGACUCCUACGGGAGGCAGCAGUGGGGAAUUUUGGACAAUGGGGGCAACCCUGAUCCAGCCAUGCCGCGUGAGUGAAGAAGGCCUUCGGGUUGUAAAGCUCUUUCAGACGGAAAGAAACGGUUACGGCUAAUACCCGUGACUAAUGACGGUACCGUCAGAAGGAGCACCGGCUAACUACGUGCCAGCAGCCGCGGUAAUACGUAGGGUGCGAGCGUUAAUCGGAAUUACUGGGCGUAAAGCGUGCGCAGGCGGUUUUGUAAGACAGACGUGAAAUCCCCGGGCUUAACCUGGGAACUGCGUUUGUGACUGCAAGGCUAGAGUAUGGCAGAGGGGGGUAGAAUUCCACGUGUAGCAGUGAAAUGCGUAGAUAUGUGGAGGAAUACCGAUGGCGAAGGC